CGCCUGCAGCUUCUGAUUGGCUGCGCCUCUCUCAGCUGUCGCGAGCGAGAGGCUGGGACGCAGAGUUACCAUAGUAACCGAUGAGGUUCGCCCAGAUCGCGUCUCUCUAAGGCCUUGGAGAGCUUAGCAACCGCCUAGGGCCGCUGGGCGGGUGGGUGCCGCGCUUGCCGCCCCUCGCGCAGUCCUCCACCCCCACGCCCCCGCCAGAGGUAGUAGCUGAGUCACUCACUGAGGGGCCGCUGGCGCGGCCACUCGCGGUCCCUGACAGACACUAAGGUCUCGGGCGCCCCCCAGAGGCUCUCUUUCCUUCGCUGACAUCUUCACGGCCUCGGGGCCAUGGUCCCCGCCGGUCCUAAAGACUGCCACUGCGUUCUGACUCUGCCCUCACUCUGUUUCUACUCCGUGUUCUGGAUCCAUUUUAUUCCAGUCCUCUCCUCCAUCUCCCCACGGUCCCCUCGCUGGGGUUGCAGUGAGCUCCCAAGAAUGAAAACGCGCGUCAGUGUGUAGGAGCCGCGGCCGCAUGAAUGAGCCGCCGCACGAGUACUACGCGCGCCUAUAAAAGCGGCGGCGCCAGCCCGGCUGCAGGAGGCGAGCGGGAGCGGGCGCGACGCGGCCCGACAGGUAAGUGGGACUGACCGGCCGACGGGCUACCGAUGGACCGAUGUACGGACACGGACGGGAGGGCAAUGAGGAGACCGGCAGGCGGCAGGUUGGAGGCCCCCUACGGGGUGGGGUUGGGAGCAGGGUGGGGGACGAGGAUCCCCACGCAGCUGGUGGAGCCGGCCGGAGGCGUACCCAGAACCCCGUGCAGCAACCUGCCCGCGCCCGGAUGAAGACGCAGCCACUUCGGAGGAGCAUCGAAGAGAGGACGGACCCCAGAGUCCCCGCGACAUUUCCUGGGGCUCCUGCGCCAUCCUCCCAAGAAAGUGGGGCGAAGGUGCUGACGCCCCAGGCGAGGCGCCCCCUCCUCCCCCUCCCCGCAGCGCGGUGACUCAGCCUCGCUGCCCCCGGCCGGCUGAGCCGGGCCGCCGGCAAAAGACAGACGCCCACCUUCCCGCCGACCCAGCCACGGCUCUCUCGGGACCCCUGCCCAGCAUCCAGCCGGGCACCCCCUCCCCGUCCCAUCCCGUCGGGCUAGUCCCUUAGCGCCCCCGAAUUCCCGCCUCUGCGCGAGGAGCUGUCCUCUCAGGACCAGGCGGGGGCGGGGCCUCAGACGGACUGCCCCGCCCCACCCCCACUGACCCCUCCCCCGCCGCCGGAAGUGCCUCUCCGCAGGGACAAAUUUGACGUCACAGGGCUUUGACGUCAAGGGCCGCGUGCCUGUCUGCAAGCGCUGGGCCGAGAAAGGCGGGAGACGUGGGGGAGGAAGAGCAGCAGCGCCCCCAGCUGCGGGCGACGGAGGCACCCCCGCCCGGGCAGCGCGCCGGCACCUUGGCUCUAGACUGCUUACUGCCCGGGCCGCCCUCAGUAACAGUCUCCAGUCACGGCCACCGACGCCUGGCCCCGCCCCAGGACCGCGGACCCGGCCACCUGCCGCGCCCCCGGCCCCUCUGUCCCCCAGGGUCCCUCAGCUCUGCGCGCGCUGCCCGCGCCGCCGCUGUCCGCGGUGCUGAUCCAGCGCAGGCGCUACGAUCCGGCCGUCAGGUCCCUGGUCACCAGAGGCUGCGAGGGCCGGCCGGCUUACACACACAUCGCACAGCCCCCGAGCCAGGUCCCCGUCGCGCGCGCUACCCCCGCUCCCCCCUUCCCCAAAAUUCUCUGCCCUGAAGACUGCCUAACGGGAGCUGCCGCGGUGCCGUCAGCAGCGCGCGCCCCGCCCCCGCGUCUCCAGGGCAACCGUGGCUUUCGAUUGUUACUGUGGGAACCGGAGGUAACAGUCUACAGCCAUGGUCGCCCCGCAGCACGCCCACGCGCCGCACCGCGCUGGGAUCUGCCAGCCCCGGAGGGGGGAGGCCAGGAGGAGCAGGAGGAAGCGGGGGCGGCAAGUCAAGAUCGGAUGUAUCUGCUGGGGCGGAGGGAGGUGCGGUUCUGCGGGGCGGGCUACCGUAGGGUCUGACUGCUUACGCAUCUACCAAGGCAGAGAAGGCACGGUCUGGGGCGUAUGUCUGACCGUCCGCCUCAGUGACCAUCCUGUUUUCUUAGCCAAGAAGGUUGCAGCCAGGGGAUGGCGAAAGAAGGGGUAGCUCUGAGAUUUGUGUUCUUUUUAUCUCCUCGGUGGGAGGGAGACUACUGGGACCUGAAGGCCUGGGGACUGAAUGGAAUAGACGGAGGAAAGUUUUUCUAAAUAUGCCACAACUUCAUUCUUCCAGGACCCCCUCGCUGGGUAGGCAGAAAGCAAGACUAAUCCUCGAACUCAUCCUGAUGGAGUCACAGCCUUCCCUCACUCUUCUCCCCACUCGUUCUUCCUCUAUUCCGUGUAGGAUGAUAAGGAUUCCCAAGCCUCAGGAAGCCAGUGUGCUUCUAAAGGCUUGGGCUUCUACCCGAGGUUGAGCAUCAUCCCACCCUUCAAGCUGGUCGUUCAGAGGGUCUACAGCAGUUCUGGAGGAGGAAGCAGAGAACCCAAGAUGCCAGAGUCUGACAGGAGACUAGCACACUACCCUCAGGGAUCAGGACGGAGGAACCCUAACUCUGUAGCCCAGGCAGAACCAUGCCAGGGGACCUCUUCCCAAAACUUCUCAGAUGUAAACUCUUCCAACUCAGCCACCAAGGCCUCCUUCCCUUCAGCUUGGGACUUAAGACUUCUACCAAACGUGUGCACUCACAAGCUUGUCCUGGAGA